UUCCCAAAUUCCCAUUUCCCUCUCUGUCUCUCAUUCUCCCAAUCCCUCCCAGCCGACCCAGCCCUCCUCUGCGACGACGACACGACGCCGGCCUCACUCGUCGCCGUCCGCCUCACUCCUCGCCAUCCACCUCACUCCGGCCUUGCUCGUCGCUGCCGCGUCCUCACUCCGUCUGGUCGCUGGUCGUCUCGACUCAUCGCUGUCUGUCUGGUCGCUGGUCGUCUGUGUCUCAGUCCGGCCUCACUCCAGUCGCUUGUUGCCUCGCCGCCCUCACUCCAAGUGUCGAAAAGGAGGUGAAUAUUGAAUAUACAAGCAACAGGCGGGAGGGGCGUAACAUUGUAGAAGCUGCGCGGUGGCGGUUGGCCGGAAAAGAUGGGGACUACUAAUCCUGAAUUGGAAGCACUGUUCGCGGACAAGAAGCGUGUGAGAAACCCUCUCGUUCCCACCGGAUGGUAGAGUGUUUUCCAGCCGGCUCAUUUGAAGGGCAUUUAAACAUGCUGGAUAUAUGCUGGAUAUAUAUGGUAGAGUGUUUAAACAUGCUGGAUAUAUAUGGAUUCCAGCCGAGUUCCUUGUUGAUUAUUGUCAUGUCUGGAAUUCUCGUCACUCUCAUCAUACCCCUCACCAUUUGCCCUUGAAGGAUUUUCAAUCAUCAAAACAACAGCUUCAAUAGCAUCCUUGAUAUAUACAAAGGUUCUCUGAGAUUGCUAGCAAUGGUGUUCUACCGAAGCGUUUCUCUAUUGUCAAAGUUGCGAUCUCGAGCUGUUCAGCAGACUAACCUUAGCAAUUCGGUGCGCUGGCUCCAAGUUCAGACCUCAUCUGAUCUGGACCUCCGUUCUCAGCUUCAGGAAUUAAUUCCAGAACAACAGAUUUAGGAAACAAACCAAAGCUGCUCUACUAGAAUUCAGGCACAAUGGCGCUGCAAUAAAGCUUAUAUGUAUUAUAAGAAAGCUUCUUAGUAGUGAAUGGCUGCAUUAAAGCUUAUAUGUAUUAUAAGAAAGCUUCUUAGUAGUGAAUGGCGGGAGCUAAAAUAAUGAUAAAUCUCAGACUAUGGUAUUUAGUAUGGUGGGAUUAAGACCUUAGUGAAGAAGCUUGGCACAUAUGAACAGACUGAACUCAACAAUCCAUACAAUCUGACUCCACUAACACCAUCAUUUCAGUGCUCAAGUAAAUCUCUCUUUUGGUUUAAUGCUUUAAUUUGUUCUUUUGAUGCAGAUGAUUACAGAAAUGAAGAGGAUGAGGAUGAUGAAGAGGAGCUUGUUUGGGAAAAAAAGAGGAGCUUGAUGCUAUUAAUGUAUAUUUAGAGUUACAGUGUGCAAAUGAGAGAGUAUCCAAAAAAAGAAAUAUUGUUGUUUUGUUUUGCUCUUUUCUUGAUAUAUACGAAUUCUUGUAGUGCACGGUGGCAUUUUUGUAAUUAUUGAACAUAUGUUACACGUCUUUACUAGUAUAGUAAAGUCGCGUAUUGUAUAUUUAUAUUUUUAUUUAUAAAUUAUACACUUCUUUACAGAAGUGUAAAGAAGUGUAAUAUUGUGUAUUAAAUUAUAAUAUAUUUUUUAGAAGUACUAUAAACUACUAGGAAUGUUAGUCAAGACUUGUAUAUACUUUUAGGUUAAAUUAAAAACCACGUCAUUUGCUUCUUCACCUUGCUGCUUCUCCUUCCUUGGCUCAGCAACUCCUUCAUUUGCUUCUGCUGCUGCUUCUCUUAGUUGAGGUACUUACGUAGCAGCAGUUCCGGCGGCGACGCAGCAGCUCCAGUUCCGGCGACGAGGCAGCAGCUGCGGUUCUGGCGGCGAGGUAGCAUCCGCAGUUCCAGUGGCUAAGCAGUAGCAGCAGCUCCGGCGUGCGAUGUAGAGUUUCGGCGGCGAGGCGGCAGCACCAUCACCUGGUAGAUCUGCAUUUUCACGGUGGCUAAGCAACAGCAGUUCGCGGUGGAGCUUAGUCCUUCCUCUUGCUUCGUUCCGGCGGUGUUCGUAAAAUGUAAUCCGUACGCAUAGCAUAGCAGCAGUAGGCAUGGCUCCUUCUGUACGUAGCAGUGCUUAGGCAGGUAUGCCCAUCAGCUAUGCAAGGACUUUGCAGUCAACUCAAUUGGGUUUUUGUGUUCAACAUAGUUUGCAAAACGCAAUGUUGACUUAAACGAGGAUGCUGUUACAGCAUACAUUGGGAAUAGCAUGGUUACACUGCAGGACAAGACAUUUAUCUUAGCACCAUACCACCAAACGAACCAUUGGUUACUACUCGUGCUUCAUGCAAGUUCAAAAACUGUAUAUGUAUUAGAUCCAAUGAAUUGUAGUCGCAAAAUUGAAGUCAAACAAGCUGUGAAUAUGGCUUUUCGAACCUCUUCAAAUCAACGAGGGUUGAGGACUAUGGGUAAUGCUAAUUGGAAAUAUGUGAAGUGUCCUCAACAACCUGGUAGUGUUGAAUGUGGAUACUACGUUAUGCGGUUUAUAUAUGAUAUAUGCACAAAAUUUAAUGACUACACUUCCUUGGAUGUGGCAUAUCAAGACACAAACGCAUAUUCUAAGGAUGAAAUGGACGAGAUACGGAGGUUAUGGAUAGAAUAUUUUGUGAACGAGUGCAUAUGAAUGUUUAUUAUGUGUUUUUGAUGAAUUUACAUUCUAUAUAUUAUGAUAGAUUUUUGUUGGAUUAUCAUAUUGUAUUGCAAAUUAUGUAAGUUGGAUUAUAUAUAUUAUGUUGUAUUAGUGUUAAGUAAUUUUAUUAUAUUUUGUG